CCAGAAAAAAGAAGCGUAUCUAUUGCUGCUGCUUCUGAUGAAAAAGAAUGGUCAAGUAAAGAGUCGCAGAUUCCAUAAGUUCUACUGAUU
rnacentral:lncRNA from 1 species